UACGUAGGGUGCGAGCGUUGUCCGGAAUUAUUGGGCGUAAAGGGCUCGUAGGCGGUCUGUCGCGUCGGGAGUGAAAACUCAGGGCUUAACCCUGAGCCUGCUUCCGAUACGGGCAGACUAGAGGUAUGCAGGGGAGAACGGAAUUCCUGGUGUAGCGGUGGAAUGCGCAGAUAUCAGGAGGAACACCGGUGGCGAAGGCGGGUCUCUGGACAGUUCCUGACACUGAGGCACGAAGGCCAGGGGAGCAAACGGG
rnacentral:rRNA from 1 species